AUCGUAUUUGCAGAGGUACUCUCCAGAAAUCUCAAAAUGGUAUCCAGCGUCGUUGCCUUUCUCGCCCUUGUUUGUGUAGCUGCUGCUUUACCUUAUGGUGGAAUGAUGAAAAGUAUGGGUUAUACCGGCAUGUACGGCGGCGGAAUGUAUCCUAGCAUGUACGGCGGCGGAAUGUAUCCUGGCAUGAGCAUGCUCGGCGGCGGAAUGUAUCCCGGCAUGAGCAUGCUCGGCGGCGGAAUGUAUCCCGGCAUGGGCAUGGGCAUGGGCUUGUUCGGCGGCGGAAUGUACGGAAUGGGUAACUUAUAUGGCAUGGGUGGUAAAUACGGUAAUUCGUAUGGCAAAUAAGAAGUUACGGCCACCAAACUAAGGAUUGGACUUGAUGAUGGACCGGCAAUGAAUAAAGACAGAAGAUGGAUACGUGUACAUCAUUUUCUGA